AUACGUUAGUCAUCAGCCAUAAGGGACCAAAAAGGAACGUGAAUUGGCCAGCAAAACUUACGGCUGACCUUCACUGCAGCCGAGACAUGGCUGAUCAGCCAUUGGCUGAUUUUUAUGGCUCUUAUCUCCCACCUAAAUCACACUUAAUACCCUCUUAACACCAACCCAUUUCCUUAAAUUCCCUAGACAUUUGAAUACUGUAAUGACAAAAGCCUUCACAACCAUUUUACCAUCGCACACCAUCCUCUAUCUCUCUCCACUCUUGAUCGUCUCCCUCCCUCUCUGAUAAGCAAUCAGCCAACCACCAUCACUUGGUGGCGGCGCUCGGAGGCGGCGGCAGAACCACCACAGCAGCAGCACGGUGGUGGGUGGCGUUUCAGUGGUGGUUGCGGCCUAAAGACGGUGGUUACGGGCAGUGGCAGCGGCGACGACGAAGACGACGGUUCUGCCGUUCUUUUCCGGUGAGUUUUAAUUCGUUUUUGGGUCACAAUUCAGUUUAAUUCGAGUUUCGGUUUGUUUGGUCCUGGAACAUCGGGUCAGACUCGGUACGGUCCUUGUUCGGGAUUCGUUUUGCUUUCGGUCAAGCGGGUCAAAUACGGUCAACAUCGCGGACGCACGUCGGAGCUCGACGGAACUUACGGAUCAUCGUUCCACGGUUCGGGUACUUGUUUCGUUCUUUUGGAUUUCUCAAUCUUUACUCGUGCGUUACAAGGAAUUCUUAUACGCAACCAAUGUUGAUGAUGACGAUGCUAUAAAAAGAAGUAGCGUUGAUGCCUAGAUACACAUAUAGACGUUUAGGUUAAUAUGUUGUAUCAAAUUUUGCUUAUGUUGUUAUGUAUUACUUUUUGGAACUUGUUGUCAUUUGAGUUUAUGUAAUGUUGACUAUUUGAAGUUAUGAAAUGAAAUUGGGAUUAUUAAAAUAUUGUCACAAA